AGGAAUCUGCCUAUUAGUGGGGGACAACAUCUCGAAGGGGAUGCUAAUACCGCAUACGUCCUACGGGAGAAGGCAGGGGACCUUCGGGCCUUGCGCUAAUAGAUGAGCCUAAGUCGGAUUAGCUAGUUGGUGGGGUAAAGGCCUACCAAGGCGACGAUCUGUAGCGGGUCUGAGAGGAUGAUCCGCCACACUGGGACUGAGACACGGCCCAGACUCCUACGGGAGGCAGCAGUGGGGAAUAUUGGACAAUGGGGGGAACCCUGAUCCAGCCAUGCCGCGUGUGUGAAGAAGGCCUUUUGGUUGUAAAGCACUUUAAGCGAGGAGGAGGCUACCGAGAUUAAUACUCUUGGAUAGUGGACGUUACUCGCAGAAUAAGCACCGGCUAACUCUGUGCCAGCAGCCGCGGUAAUACAGAGGGUGCAAGCGUUAAUCGGAUUUACUGGGCGUAAAGCGCGCGUAGGUGGCCAAUUAAGUCAAAUGUGAAAUCCCCGAGCUUAACUUGGGAAUUGCAUUCGAUACUGGUUGGCUAGAGUAUGGGAGAGGAUGGUAGAAUUCCAGGU
rnacentral:rRNA from 1 species